GGGGAAUCUUCCGCAAUGGACGAAAGUCUGACGGAGCAACGCCGCGUGAGUGAUGACGGCCUUCGGGUUGUAAAGCUCUGUUAAUCGGGACGAAAGGUCCUCUUGCGAAUAGUUAGAGGAAUUGACGGUACCGGAAUAGAAAGCCACGGCUAACUACGUGCCAGCAGCCGCGGUAAUACGUAGGUGGCAAGCGUUGUCCGGAAUUAUUGGGCGUAAAGCGCGCGCAGGCGGAUCAGUCAGUCUGUCUUAAAAGUUCGGGGCUUAACCCCGUGAUGGGAUGGAAACUGCUGAUCUAGAGUAUCGGAGAGGAAAGUGGAAUUCCUAGUGUAGCGGUGAAAUGCGUAGAUAUUAGGAAGAACACCAGUGGCGAAGGCGACUUUCUGGACGAAAACUGACGCUGAGGCGCGAAAGCCAGGGGAGCGAACGGGAUUAGAUACCCCGGUAGUCCUGGCCGUAAACGAUGGGUACUAGGUGUAGGAGGUGUCGACCCCUUCUGUGCCGGAGUUAACGCAAUAAGUACCCCGCCUGGGGAGUACGACCGCAAGGUUG
rnacentral:rRNA from 1 species